rnacentral:tRNA from 1 species
GAGGGUACAGCUUGGUGGUAGAGUGCAUGCUUGGCAUGCACAAGGCCCUGGGUUCAAUUCCCAGUACCUCCG